UACGUAGGGUGCGAGCGUUGUCCGGAAUCAUUGGGCGUAAAGCGCGUGUAGGCGGUUCUGUAAGUCUGCUGUGAAAGUCCAGGGCUCAACCCUGGGAUGCCGGUGGAUACUGCAGGGCUAGAGUACGGAAGAGGCGAGUGGAAUUCCCGGUGUAGCGGUGAAAUGCGCAGAUAUCGGGAGGAACACCUAUUGCGAAGGCAGCUCGCUGGGACGUUACUGACGCUGAGACGCGAAAGCGUGGGGAGCAAACAGG
rnacentral:rRNA from 1 species